rnacentral:rRNA from 1 species
GACGAACGCUGGCGGCGUGCCUAAUACAUGCAAGUUGAGCGCUGAAGGUUGGUACUUGUACCAACUGGAUGAGCAGAGAACGGGUGAGUAACGCGUGGGGAAUCUGCCUUUGAGCGGGGGACAACAUUUGGAAACGAAUGCUAAUACCGCAUAAAAACUUUAAACACAAGUUUUAAGUUUGAAAGAUGCAAUUGCAUCACUCAAAGAUGAUCCCGCGUUGUAUUAGCUAGUUGGUGAGGUAAAGGCUCACCAAGGCGAUGAUACAUAGCCGACCUGAGAGGGUGAUCGGCCACAUUGGGACUGAGACACGGCCCAAACUCCUACGGGAGGCAGCAGUAGGGAAUCUUCGGCAAUGGACGAAAGUCUGACCGAGCAACGCCGCGUGAGUGAAGAAGGUUUUCGGAUCGUAAAACUCUGUUGGUAGAGAAGAACGUUGGUGAGAGUGGAAAGCUCAUCAAGUGACGGUAACUACCCAGAAAGGGACGGCUAACUACGUG